UAAAAAAAAAAAUUAUUUCAUAGUAUAAUAGGUUUAUAACUAUUUUGUACAUUAAAGCCUGGAUUACUUAAUAUCUGGAUAGACAAAAGCCACGCAACUUAAUUAUUAGAUCUUUUAAAAGAAAUAAUUCUUCUAUUAAAUAACAAUUGUAGAAGAGAAGAAUUAAUUCUUGUUAAAAAGUGAUGAAUCAUGAACGCCGAGAUUGGAACUUAUCCGAUGGUUCAUUAAAAAUCCUCAUUUGUGAUUUAAGUAAUCAACCAUGGAAUUGUGGAUCGUUUGGUGAAAGAUUUUGUAGCAAAAUUUCAUUUUUGGUGGUGAAACUUGAAAAAGUCCUCCUAAAGGAAUCAUCAAAUCUAACUUCUAAUUGCUGAUCGCCUUUAUUAUUGAGUAUGGAGUAAGGCCCUAUUAUUAAACCACAUCAAACUCGUAGGAAGUAAUUUUUUGAGGGAAUAUCCAUUCGUAGUUCAUCAUAUUUCUCUUGUAUUGGGAGAAGAGCGUCUCUUGAUGAGCCUGUUUCCAUCUAUUAUAAUUCAUUAUGUAAUUCUUGUCUUUGGAUUUGAUUUUCCUUUUCUAAUUCAUUAAAAUCGUUGAAAAUAGUGUUUCUUAUCUGAUUAGCUAUUUUUGUUGAAUUUAUGAUCAAGGAUGUCUCAUCAUCCUCCUAUAUAAAUAUAUAUAUUUAUGUUAUCUGCUUGAAUUAUCCUUCAUUAUUCAACAUGCGAAGCAUGAAUUUGUCCAUAUUUUGCCUAUUUUAAUGCAACAAAUCGUUAUUAUCGCCACCACUCAAACUGAAGACACGGCACCUAAUGAAGUUGGGUUGAUAUUUAUUUCAUUUCAAAUUUAUUCUGAGAAUUUAUUGUGACAGCAAGUUCAACUUUUACUUCCGGAUAUUUAUGUAUCACAUUAUAUUUAGAUAUGAAUCUUUAAUUGGAAUACCUCAUGAUUGCAUUGAUCACUCGGUGUAGAGUAAUUCACCUAUAAAGUAACAUAUGAUCUUAUUUCUUGUUCAGUUCUAUAAUUAUUAUUUUUAUUUGAAAAUGCUCGGAAAUAAACGAUAUUUUUUUCAUAUGAAAAUAAUUGAUUUAGAUCGAAAAUGGUUUGAUUGAACCUGUUUAUUCUAAUAAUCGCAUCUUUUUCGGGAACGUCCUCAUACUUGGUCAUCAAAAAAAGCAAGUAAACUUAAAACUUAGCUGGAUAUAUUUAUACGCUCUGCAACCACCAAUGACUUAUUUCAUUUAUUAAAAUAUUAUUUGCAGUAUUCCACAUUUGAUAUUUCAAGUCUCUUUGAAUUAUUACACUAAAUCCAAUAACUAGACAACCUAAAAUAAAUUAAAACAAGAUAUCAAUCCUUAAUUAAUAACAUAUUGUUAUUAAAUCAAAAUAAUAAUUAAUAAUCUUCUCAAAAAGAGAUUUAUCAUUUCACUUAUUUUGUGUGUUGUGCAAAUUACCUGAAUCUGAUUUUGUUAUGUACAGAAAUUGAACAUCAUCUUCCAUUCAAUCUACUAUUAUUUUUGUAAGAACACAAUUGAUAUCUAAUUUUUGUUUGAGCUCCGACAAAUUUGAAAUAUUAUCUUUUGUACCCUUAAUUCUAUUUCAUCAUUUUUCCGUUUAUGCAUCACCUCAGCCAUUGGCAUUAUACUGGCCUUUUGUUUAAUUGUCACUUUUUUAAAUCCAAAAGAAAGUAGAGCUCUUUUUCUUAGAAUAAGUCUUUUUAGUUCUUCAUUUUUUCAUUUAGUUUCUGUUUCAUAAUCUUCGUGUUUUAAAUGAAGAGAAAAACAAUAUUUUUCGAGCUAUCAACGGAUUUACCAUCUAUAUGAACAAUUAUAAUUCUAUUCUGAAACACUUAUCAAAAAUGAAUUUAUAGUUUUUUUUACCAAGUACAUAAUUUAUUAGUAUAGCUGAUUUUCAUUUAUCAAGAAUUUCCAUGUUUUAUGUAGGAACUUUAUGCAAAGAAGUUCUUAUUUUAUUAUCAUUGAACUUUCGAUCAGUUGUUUUUCGAGUGUGGUAACAAGAAAUCACACAAUUUAAACGCAUAUUUCACGUCUAAGAAGAAUAAUCAAUUUCUAUGCAAAAUAAUAUUUAUUUAUAACUAAUUGACGAUAAAAAAAAAAUAUUUAUAUAACUUAUUGAAUCAAAACAUAAAUACUUCAAAUAGAGAGGCUGCGUGAUUUGAAAAGCGAAUAGUUUAUCCAGAUGUUAAGUAAUCCAUAAUUAAAGUAAGAAUGUUUGGUAUACUCGCUUUAAUGCAUUUUUGUUAAUUAAAUGCAAAUUAUUUCUUUCAAAAAUGAAUCCAGAUUUAUAAUAAUUGUAUUUAAUUAAAUAUAAAUUUAUUUAAAUUUC
rnacentral:lncRNA from 1 species